rnacentral:rRNA from 1 species
UACGGAAGGGGCGAGCGUUGUUCGGAAUCAUUGGGCGUAAAGGGCGCGUAGGUGGUCUUGUGUGUCUACCGUGAAAGCACACGGCUCAACCGUGUUACGUCGGUAGAAACUGCAGGACUUGAGGCUGGGAGGGGCUGGUGGAAUUCCCCGUGUAGCGGUGAAAUGCGUAGAGAUGGGGGAGAACACUCGUGGCGAAGGCGGCCAGCUAGACCAGUUCUGACACUGAGGCGCGAUAGCGUGGGGAGCAAACAGG